rnacentral:hammerhead_ribozyme from 1 species
AUCCGGCUGACGAGUCGCAAACAAGACGAAACACGCGUAGUGGGU